UACGGAGGGUGCAAGCGUUAUCCGGAUUUACUGGGUUUAAAGGGUGCGUAGGUGGACAGGAAAGUCGGUGGUGAAAUCUUCGAGCUUAACUCGGAAACUGCCAUUGAUACUAUUUGUCUUGAAUACUUUGGAGGUAAGCGGAAUAUGUCAUGUAGCGGUGAAAUGCUUAGAAAUGACAUAGAACACCAAUUGGGAAGGCAGCUUACAGCACAGUUAUUGACGCUGAGGCACGAAAGCGUGGGGAGCAAACAGG
rnacentral:rRNA from 1 species